AUGCGUAGUGCCAUGAACAUAAAGAUUGUUGCAUCAUAUUAUUCAUGCACUUGUGCUUCUAAUGGUUAUUGGCAAGAGACGAGAACCAUCAUGAUGGAUGAUGUGUUUAUCUACCAUGUGCAUACUUUCUUUGUUUUAUUUUGUGCAUGUGUAGGAUACUUGGACUUUGUGUCGACUUCCACUUCACGUGAGUUGACCAUUCGAGCUCUCGAGAGCGAGCCUCAUACAUUCUACCAUGACUCGCUUCUACACCACAUUUCCUACCACUUCGGCAUUGUGAAGAAUGCACAAGGACACGCUUUCAAGGUGACAUCCUUCUUGAGCUUGGAUAUUGUGGAUCAUACUUCAUGUGUUACUUGCACCAUUUGCACGCAUGUUCGAGAUAUUGCGUUCACCCAUGAUUGCCACAUUUCCAUGCUUCAUGACAUAUAUACCUUGUGUGUUGCAUCCAAUUCUUGGACUACUUGCUACUAUCAUAUGGUUGGUUGCACCUAUAUCAUUUCUUCACAUAUGCCAUGUCCCUUUGCUUGUCACAUGAUUCACUUGAUUGCCUCACACAUGAUGAACAAUUGCUCUUUCUAUUCUGUUGAGUGCCACACUAUAUUAACUACACCCUAUGCACAUUAUGCUUGGAUUGUCUUGCACUUGACCCAUGUGUUUAGACACUUCAUUUUAUUUGGUGUUGUGAAUCUUUCCUAUGCAUACCGUAGACCUUUCAUUGAGCAAUUUGUGAAUGCUUGCUAUGAACUUGAGGUAGAUGCUUAUUCUCUUGUCACACGUAUUUGCAUCACUACCUCACAUUUGCAUACUUGUCCCCAUGAUAUCUUUGCUUGGGCUCAAUUGAUAUGCUUACAUGCCAUGUCACAAUCCUUUGUCACACCUGAUGCUAUGCUUGUUGACAACACUUGUUUGGUGAAUCACCUCUUGAAUGCUUGGUUUUGCACUAACGCUAGCCACAUUUGUUUUUCCAAGUGUUUGUUGUAUUUACUCAUUUUGAAGGAAUCACAAGACGGUGCGACAUUGGAGAGUGCCCAUUUCGAGCUACUAGACGACGAGUGCUUGGUGAUCGACCACUUCGACACGGUACCGCCAUCUAUUUCCCAUGGUGAUUUGGUUUUCGAUCUGAGGUCAGAUCUUUUCCAAGGGGGAGGGGAUGAUGCGGAGCAUCCUACGGGCAUCACCAUGUCAAGAGUCCAUUUGGCAAGUGACACGUGCGACCUCUACUUCUCAUACAUAAAGGUGAAUCUUCUCCUUUACACGUGUUCACUUGACCCCUUUGAGGAUGGUAUACUACUUGACACCCCUCUCGUGUGCAUGCAUAGGUAUUGUCAGAGCUUCACGGAUGUUGAGGAGGAGUGCAAGCGCCAAGGAACAACUACACCAUCCGCGAGGGAAGCAUGGAAGAGAAGGAAGAAGAAGCCUGGACAAGGUUCUGGAAAGCCCAGAACUUCCGGCCGCUGCCCGGAACUUCCGGCCCCCGGAACCUCCGGCCCUGCCACACCAAAGAUAUCCAAGAGUGUGCCAACUCUCUGGAUAGCCCGGACCCUGCCCGGAACCUUCGGCGCCCGGACCUUCCGGCCGUCCCCGGAACUUCCGGCCCUGCCUGCGCGCAGAGACUCGGCCCGUGGCCAUGUACCCUUUCGCUCCUCACUUACCCCUUCGUGGCUACUACUAUAUAUACUCACCCCCUCCUCCAUUCUAGGGUUAGCAAAUAUGAUAGCUCACUAG
rnacentral:rRNA from 1 species